rnacentral:pre_miRNA from 1 species
UAGCCUGUCAAAGCGGCGGUGACUAUGUGUACCAUUUUCAUAUCACAGCCACUUUGAUGUGGUCGG